rnacentral:rRNA from 1 species
ACUCAAAGGAAUAGACGGGGGCCCGCACAAGCAGCGGAGCAUGUGGUUUAAUUCGAAGCGACGCGAAGAACCUUACCAGGUUUUGACAUCCCUCGGAGUUUGUGGAAACAUGAGCGUCCCAUUUUGGGACGAGGAGACAGGUGGUGCAUGGUUGUCGUCAGCUCGUGUCGUGAGAUGUUGGGUUAAGUCCCGCAACGAGCGCAACCCUUAUGUUCAGUUACUAACUGGUAGAGCAGAGGACUCUGGACAGACUGCCGUGGAGAACACGGAGGAAGGUGGGGACGACGUCAAAUCAUCAUGCCCCUUAUGACCUGGGCUACACACGUGCUACAAUGGCCGCAACAAAGAGCAGCGAAGCCGCGAGGCGGAGCGAAUCUCAAAAAAGCGGUCUCAGUUCGGAUUGUGGGCUGCAACCCGCCCACAUGAAGUCGGAGUUGCUAGUAAUCGCGGAUCAGCAUGCCGCGGUGAAUACGUUCCCGGGCCUUGUACACACCGCCCGU